rnacentral:rRNA from 1 species
CACGUAGGGUGCGAGCGUUGUCCGGUAUUAUUGGGUGUAAAGAGCUCGUAGGCGGUGUGUCGCGUCGGCCGUGAAAACCUGCAGCUUAACUGUGGGCUUGCGGUCGAUACGGGCAUCACUGGAGUUCGGCAGGGGAGACUGGAAUUCCUGGUGUAGCGGUGAAAUGCGCAGAUAUCAGGAGGAACACCGGUGGCGAAGGCGGGUCUCUGGGCCGAUACUGACGCUGAGGAGCGAAAGCGUGGGGAGCGAACAGG